CAGUACGGGUUACCAGAAGAUGCCAUUGUAUACUGUAACUUUAAUCAGUUGUAUAAAAUUGACCCUUCUACUUUGCAGAUGUGGGCAAACAUUCUGAAGCGUGUUCCCAAUAGUGUACUCUGGCUGUUGCGUUUUCCAGCAGUAGGAGAACCUAAUAUUCAACAGUAUGCACAAAACAUGGGCCUGCCCCAGAACCGUAUCAUUUUUUCACCUGUUGCUCCUAAAGAGGAACACGUCAGGAGAGGCCAGCUGGCUGAUGUCUGCUUGGACACUCCACUCUGUAAUGGGCACACCACAGGGAUGGAUGUCCUCUGGGCAGGGACCCCCAUGGUGACUAUGCCAGGUAAGUUGCUGAUAAAUCAGUGGAAUCUUCAUUGUUCUUUUGAAAAUCUCCGUUUGGGGGAGAAACUUCCAGGUGAAAUUAUAUGUACUAGGAGCAACAUUAAAGGAAAGGUGAUAGAAAGUGAGACUUGUUCUCACUUCAUUCUCUUCAUCUGCGUUGUGUGGAGGCUUAACAUAAAUAACAUUAACUCUGUGCUGUUUUACGUUCUCAGAUGUGCAGUU
rnacentral:sRNA from 1 species